AGCUAUAUGAUUUAAUAUUUAGUCUUUUCUGCCCAGUGAUUAUUUAACGGCCGCAGUACCUUGACUGUGCUAAGGUAGCAUAAUCAAUUGACUUUUAAUUGAAGUCUGGAAUGAAUGGGAAAAUGGGAAGAUUCUGUCUCUUUUAAAUUUUUUUGAAGUUAUUAUUGAGGUGAAAAUACCUUAAUUUUGAAAAAAGACGAGAAGACCCUUAGAGUUUUUUUGUUGGGGUGACAAAUAAGCUAACCUUAUUUUAUGAAAGAUCAAACUACCUUAGGGAUAACAGCAUAAUUCUUAUUUGAGUUUGUGACCUCGAUGUUGGACUAGGGAAUUAAUAAUUAGAAAUUAAAAUAAAAGGUUCUGUUCGAACUUUAUCCCCU
rnacentral:rRNA from 1 species